rnacentral:rRNA from 1 species
AACGAACGCUGGCGGCAUGCCUAACACAUGCAAGUCGAACGAGACCUUCGGGUCUAGUGGCGCACGGGUGCGUAACGCGUGGGAACCUGCCCUUAGGUUCGGAAUAACUCCCCGAAAGGGGUGCUAAUACCGGAUAAUGUCUUCGGACCAAAGAUUUAUCGCCUUUGGAUGGGCCCGCGUUGGAUUAGCUAGUUGGUAGGGUAAAAGCCUACCAAGGCGACGAUCCAUAGCUGGUCUGAGGGGAUGAUCAGCCACACUGGGACUGAGACACGGCCCAGACUCCUACGGGAGGCAGCAGUGGGGAAUAGUGGACAAUGGGCGAAAGCCUGAUCCAGCAAUGCCGCGUGAGUGAUGAAGGCCUUAGGGUUGUAAAGCUCUUUUACCCGGGAUGAUAAUGACAGUACCGGGAGAUUAAGCUCCGGCUAACUCCGUG